rnacentral:rRNA from 1 species
UACGAAGGGGGCUAGCGUUGCUCGGAUUGACUGGGCGUAAAGGGCGCGUAGGCGGUUCGUACAGUUCAGACGUGAAAUUCCUGGGCUCAACCUUGGGGGCUGCGUUUGAUACGUGCGGACUGAGUGCGGAAGAGGGUCGUGGAAAUUCCCAGUGUAGAGGUGAAAAUUUCGUAGAUAUUUGGGGAAAGAACAACCGGGUGGCGAAGGGCGGCGACCUGGUCCGAUACUGACGCUGAGGCGCGAAAGCGUGGGGAGCAAACAGGAUUAGAUACCUU